rnacentral:rRNA from 1 species
ACGCUCGACACCUACGGGAGGCGGCAGUGGGGAAUAUUGCACAAUGGGGGAAACCCUGAUGCAGCGACGCCGCGUGAGCGAAGAAGUAUCUCGGUAUGUAAAGCUCUAUCAGCAGGGAAGAAGAUGACGGUACCUGACUAAGAAGCACCGGCUAAAUACGUGCCAACAGCCGCGGUAAUCUGAGCGGGCUGGCAAGGC